GUGCCAGCCGCCGCGGUAAUACCGGCAGCCCGAGUGAUGGCCGAUCUUAUUGGGCCUAAAGCGUCCGUAGCUGGCCGACCAAGUCUCCCGGGAAAUCCACCCGCCUAACGGGUGGGCGUCCGGUAGAAACUGGCCGGCUUGGAACCGGAAGGCUCAGAGAGUACGUCCGGGGUAGGAGUGAAAUCCUGUAAUCCCGCUCGGACCGCCGAUGGGGAAACCACCUCAGGAGAACGGAUCCGACAGUGAGGGACGAAAGCCAGGGUCUCGAACCGGAUUAGAACCCCAGGAGUCC
rnacentral:rRNA from 1 species